UACAGAGGGUGCGAGCGUUAAUCGGAAUUACUGGGCGUAAAGGGUGCGUAGGUGGUUAGAUAAGUUAGGUGUGAAAGUCCUGGGCUUAACCUGGGGAUUGCGCCUGAUACUGUGUAGCUAGAGUACUGUAGAGGAAAGUGGAAUUUCCGGUGUAGCGGUGAAAUGCGUAGAUAUCGAGAGGAACACCUGCGGCGAAGGCGGGUUGCUGGGCUGACACUGACGCUGAGGCGCGAAAGCUAGGGGAGCGAACGGG
rnacentral:rRNA from 1 species